UACGUAGGGUGCAAGCGUUAUCCGGAAUUAUUGGGCGUAAAGAGCUCGUAGGCGGUUUGUCGCGUCUGCUGUGAAAACUGGAGGCUCAACCUCCAACCUGCAGUGGGUACGGGCAGACUAGAGUGCGGUAGGGGAGAUUGGAAUUCCUGGUGUAGCGGUGGAAUGCGCAGAUAUCAGGAGGAACACCGAUGGCGAAGGCAGAUCUCUGGGCCGUAACUGACGCUGAGGAGCGAAAGCAUGGGGAGCGAACAGG
rnacentral:rRNA from 1 species